rnacentral:Y_RNA from 1 species
GGUUGGUUUGAGGUCCGUGGUGUUUACAACUGAUUGAUCACAACCAGUUAGAUUCCUUCUCCGCUCCCACUGCUUCACUUGACCAGCCUUUA